CUGGUCUUCUUCUUGUUGCUUUGCUCUUCUUCCUGCUGAGGCUGCUGCUCCCCGGCCCCUGCGUGCUCCGCUACGCAGUACCGGCAUCUUUCAUCCUCUUUUUCUUAUUAUUACUACUAUUUUUCUCAUCACACUAAAUCGAUUAACUCGAUAAUCAAAAACUCUAAAACCAAUUGAAUCGCAACAAAAAACCUCAAGAAACAGGACGAUUCAAGGAAAGAGAACUAAAACGACACCGUAAGUGCAUCUACUGUGAAUAGAGAAGGAAAAGAGAAAUGUAACAAUAAUUUUAAAUAAAUUAGGUUUAUAUUUUUUUGGGAUAUUAGAGAGAGAGAAGAAGAGACUGUGAAGUACUUUUUGUUACAGGGAAAGAUAAAUUUCUUUCCUAAAUCUGGAGACGAUUACGUGGGCGAAUAUGGACCGCUGAUGGAAGGAAAUUUACGGGGAGGAUUGAGGUUUUGAUUCUGGAAAUUAUUAUGUUAGAAAAGGAAAAGAAGGACAGUAGUGGAAAUGACAAAAAGGGGCUUUGAG
rnacentral:lncRNA from 1 species